GGUUCUGAGCCAAGGGAGCAGCUUUUUCCUUAAUGAAGACAAGACUGACGACAGGAAGACCAACAAACCGCUGACUGGACGAUGGGGUCGGUCUUAUUCUGAAGGGUUUACUUCCUGUUUCUCCAUCCCUCACUCGACCAUAGUGACUUGAAUGCCAAUUGUUUUUUUCUGUUCUUUCUAAGGUUUGGGGGAAAUGGGCAGUGAGAGAGGUAGUUAUAGGAUGCAGGAUAGUAAUUUCAGUGCCAUAGGAUGAUUAAUUAUGAUUUCUAUUAACAAACUGAAUAACCUCUAGAGAUGUCAGACGUAAAGGUUCAGACACGACAGGAGUCCUUCAUGAUCAGUCAGUCAGUGUGAAACGUGGCUAAUCGAUGCAUUGUUUCAUCUGAGUUUUUCUAUUGCCUUUGUCAUAUUACAGUACACGCCGACUACAGGUCUCCAGUUUCACAGCCAGACUCCCUGUGUCUGAGAUCUCAGGUUCUAAUAAAACGUUGACCAUUAAUUACAGUGGCCCGGUCGGGUCUGCAGCAGCCAAAGCGCCACCCUGGGAGCCGUGGUUCUCUUCCUUUGUGUUCUCUCUCUGCCAGCAGUUGAGUUUGUGUUGAGAUAAGACGAGUGAAGAGCCUGAAGCUUCACUGUCAACAUCAGUCAGAGGAUUAAGAGCAAAGACAAAUUCCCCCGAGUCAUUAAUGGAGAGGCGACAAGGAGGAUGCUGUGACCUGACCUCCCCUACAUCAUUACCCACAGUCCUGGAGUCACGUCUCCUUUACAUCCUGAGCGACAGGCUGGAAUCAGGUGCUUCUGUCAAAGGAUUUGAAUUCUUUUGCUAUUAGGACAAUGCCAGUCACCACUGUUACCUAAUUUAAUCACUUUUGUCAAUAUGACUGAUUUGUAAUGAGGGUUUAAUAAUGCUGAGUGGAGCUAAAAAAACAGAUUGCUCCAUUAGUCCAUUGUGUUAUUUACUGACAACUUCAAACCUAUAAGUUACACGGUUACAUUUGGAGACUGUUUGAAAGAAACCAUCCAUUAACUCUGCUUCACCCCAUAAAUCCCUGCAGAUGUUUCUGCCUCCUCAUCAGGUGACAUCAGUUCUGGUCAGAACGCAGGUCGGGCCGACUGCUCUUCUCAGACACUUUUUGCUUUUGCACAAUGACAGCAGUUGUAACAUGACUGAAUGAGUCAGAGUCUGAAUUUAUUUACAGUAACAGCCUGAACCCAGAACCAGCGUGGUUGUGUCACGUUUGGCAGCAGUAGCAAGGCGAGGACCCAAACGCACAGCACACACAGGCUCAGGUUUGUGGAGAUUUAAUGAAACUCGUUGGUCUGACAGGCUCAGGUCGGUACACAGGUUUAGCAUGAAAGACAGCAGCAGUACAAAACAGGGAUCAGGCAAAGGCAGUCAGUGUCCACACGUGGUUCAAGUCAAGGUGAAAACGAGACCCGGGACUGGACUUACUAGAACGUGGACGCUGGAGCAUUGAUACAGGUAAUGUGAUCGAAGAAUCUGGCAAAUGCUAGCGGUGAGACAUGGUUCGUAAGUACACAUACAGAUUACAAAGUGGGUGCAGCUAAUAAGACAGGUAACAGCAGAUAAAGCUAGACAGAAUACCAGGAACUAAACAGGAAACAGUCAAAAUAAAACAGGAAACAAUACAGAAACA
rnacentral:lncRNA from 1 species